rnacentral:rRNA from 1 species
UAGGGAAUCUUCCACAAUGGGCGCAAGCCUGAUGGAGCAACACCGCGUGAGUGAAGAAGGUUUCGGCUCGUAAAGCUCUGUUGUUAAAGAAGAACAUAUCUGAGAGUAACUGUUCAGGUAUUGACGGUAUUUAACCAGAAAGUCACGGCUAACUACGUGCCAG